CUACCACUCAAACUAUGCUGCUAUGAACGUGCGCUGUACGUGCUCACAUGGUACUCUAUGCAUCAUGGCAUUCUAUGUGUCAUACAACGUGACACUCAACGCGACAUUCAUUCAUGCGCGACGCUCAACGUAGGCGGCAUGCGUCGUAGGCACUCAACGUGUCAUACUAAAGUUUGGCAUUCAUGCGUGUCGCUCGCCUCCGAUGUGGAAGGCGUGUGGCUGCGUUAUGAUGACGCUUGCUCGUAGCUUAACGUGGGUGGCAUGCAUCGUUGCAUGCAUGUCUUGCUAGAGUUUGCUCUGCUAUAUAUUUUCGAUCCGUUCUCUGCGACAAUCAUUCUUCCUUGCUCGUAGUGUGUAUUAUAUUUCGAUUCGUUCUGUGAGCGGAUCACUCUUGUCAGAUCAUUGUGUUUGCUCGUAGUGUUUCACAGUUGGUGAGUUUAUUCGCUCCUCGCCGCCGUUGUGCUUUGACUCGUUCUUAUCCUUGUUUUCGCGACGCCAUGGCUGCCUAUACUGACGACGAAAUCCGCGCCAUGACGGUUCCGCGUCUCCGCAGCAAACUCUCGCCGUUGGAUUUGGAUACUUCGGGCCAGACGGCUGCCCUCGUUGAUCGCCUGAUUCAGGCCCAAGUUCAUCACGCUGAUCCCUGCGAGUCUGCAGCGAGCACAGCACGGCGAGCAGAGCAGGCAACAGAGAACACUUCUGGCGGCCAUGGCUCCCGAUUCUCUGCCUCAUAGUCAUACGAACUCGACUCCUCUCCCAGCCAGCUCAGGUAGCAGCAAGUCGUUCGCCGCCCACCUGGGAGCUAAACAUCGCGAGCGGAUUUUGAUGGGUGAGUUCGUGGAAUUGAGUUAGCUCUUGCCCUCUGUGUCUUGCUCUGUGCCGCACGCCCGCACACAGAACGUGCUCCGUUGAGAGUCGUCGGAUGGGGGCCCGUUGCGGGUGGUCGAGGACGGCGCUGCCCGCAGCAAGAGCAGGCACGUUCACCACCUUGCGACGUGGGUGGAAGCCUACACGAUCAUGAGCCAGGUUACCUGUUUCAGUGUUUUCACAGUUUGUAUUUUGCGCGCUCUUCGGUUUGAAUAAUUCCUCGCCGAUCGCCUGUUUCAGUGUACUUCACCACGCUGAAUCCUGCCAUUCUACCCCGAGCGCGGUGAGCGGAGCAGGCAGCAGAGAACGCGAGUCAGCGUUAAUCCCAGCAAGAGAAGCCAUGUUCAUGAUCUUGCGACAUGGGUUGAGGCCUUCACCGUCUUGGUCCAGAUCAUGGUCGACAUUGCUUCGCACAGGAUAGUGGAGUUGCUGUCCUGUCACUUCCGCAUCAAGGCUGCUGCCGAUCCAUCACUGAAGUGGGACAUCAUUGAGCCCAGUCUGUGGCAGCUGAUAUAUUUCUGACUGUUUCCAACGCUGCUGCAAGGACGGUAUGACAGCUGGUUCAUUUAACACACAACCGUUUAGCCCCAUGCAGUCGUUUGGGCUAGGCAUUGUGCUGGCCAAGAGUUUACAACGCCCUGGCUAUGCAACUCCACACCAAGUUACUCAGUACUGUGUACAUACUUGGAGCAUGCUUCGACCAGCAGCAUCCAGUCCAGCAGCAUCCAGUUCUUCGUCUGCACCCAGGUACAGCCCUGUCAUCAAUCCAUCAAGUACUGCUAUUACCUGGUCUACUUGUCAUUGGUGGGGUAAGGAACUCCCACACACACACAUCCAUAGUGCAUCAAUCAAUCUGGUGCUAGUGCCUGUCACUUUCGAGGUGCACCACCCACGUACUCACAGGCUGGCUUAUGCCCAUGCUGUUGCAGUCUCCUCCAGUUAGUAUGGGGGGUUAGCACUGUUGCAGUUCACACUGCCAUCCCAACCAGUGUGUAUAACCAGCAAUUGACGUGUUGCAAGUAUUCAAGUGUUCAGUCCAACAGCAGAUUUGCUUGGGCCACUCUUGUCCAACCAUUUAUGUAGUUUUCCAGUAUAACCUCAACCUCUCUGGCCCGACGUCAUUUAGUCUCUGCCACACUGACAGGCGUUGCGUCCUCAAGCACGAACUCGCCUGCCUUCUAGGCCAACUCACAUUCGCUACCCACCCGUACGUUAUUAUGCCCUGCCUGUCUGACCUUGUCAAGGCCACAUCUGAGUUCAUCUCACAGAAUGCUGCACCUCUCAACCUCAGUCAAGGACGACCCUGAGCUGGUGGCACCAGACUCUGUCAACGUAUUGAAGGUUGGCACAAGCCGUUCAGUUCUUCUCUGGUCAUGGCACUCAUCUACACCCUCUACUUGUGUCCAGUACUACUUACUGUUUCGAGCAUCACACCUGCCAGUCACCUCCAAUACCAUCGAUGCUCCGUGCCCGGACCAAGUUGGAUGACUCCAGAACCUUUGCUCCCACAGCUGCGGCGCGACCUGACACCAUGGUCUAGCCAAUCACCGCAGCAAUGUUCGUCCUUCUAUUUGGGCAAGCUCCCUUUGCUGCACGAGCACUUAUCCGGCAUGAAAUGAGGGACACCGCCAAGGAGAUCAUCAAGGUAACUGUCUUACUGGUUCUCAUCCGUGUUGCUUGAACUCUUGUCAGUGUCCUCUUUACCACAUGCUGUCUCAAUCCACACACAUUUAAUGCCUAGCUACCCAGGGGGCUUUUUGUCCUCGUCCCUCUCUUGGCUCCGCCAAGAUCUCUCUCUGCAGUGCCCCCUCUCUGACUCCUCCCUUGGCUCCGCCAAGAUCCUGCUCCGGCAGUGACCCCUCUCUGACCUCUCGUAGAUACUUGGCUCCGCCAACAUUCUGCUCCGGCAGUGUCUACGUAUAUCUCUUGUCUGACCUCUCUCUUGGCCCUGCCAAGAUCCUGCUCCGGCAGUGACCCCUCUCUUUACUCAGGGCCCUCGGUCGCCGUCCCUCGGACGCAGACUCUUGUAGAUACUUGGCUCCGCCAACAUUCUGCUUCGGCAGUGUCUACCCGGCCGACCCUGAAUCCUCUCUCGUAGAUACUUGGCUCCGCCAACAUUCUGCUCCGGCAGUGUCUACGUAUUACUCUUGUCUGACCUCUCUCUUGGCCCUGCCAAGAUCCUGCUCCGGCAGUGAUCCCUCUCUUUACUCAGGGCCCUCGGUCGCCGUCCCUCGGACGCAGACUCUUGUAGAUACUUGGCUCCGCCAACAUUCUGCUUCGGCAGUGUCUACCCGGCCGACCCUGAAUCCUCUCUCGUAGAUACUUGGCUCCGCCAACAUUCUGCUCCGGCAGUGUCUACGUAUUACUCUUGUCUGACCUCUUUUUUGGCCCUGCCAAGAUCCUGCUCCGGCAGUGAUCCCUCUCUUUACUCAGGGCCCUCGGUCGCCGUCCCUCGGACGCAGACUCUUGUAGAUACUUGGCUCCGCCAACAUUCUGCUUCGGCAGUGUCUACCCGGCCGACCCUGAAUCCUCUCUCGUAGAUACUUGGCUCCGCCAACAUUCUGCUCCGGCAGUGUCUACGUAUAUCUCUUGUCUGACCUCUCUCUUGGCCCUGCCAAGAUCCUGCUCCGGCAGUGACCCCUCUCUUUACUCAGGGCCCUCGGUCGCCGUCCCUCGGACGCAGACUCUUGUAGAUACUUGGCUCCGCCAACAUUCUGCUUCGGCAGUGUCUACCCGGCCGACCCUGAAUCCUCUCUCGUAGAUACUUGGCUCCGCCAACAUUCUGCUCCGGCAGUGUCUACGUAUUACUUUUGUCUGACCUCUCUCUUGGCCCUGCCAAGAUCCUGCUCCGGCAGUGACCCCUCUCUUUACUCAGGGCCCUCGGUCGCCGUCCCUCGGACGCAGACUCUUGUAGAUACUUGGCUCCGCCAACAUUCUGCUUCGGCAGUGUCUACCCGGCUGACCCUGAAUUCUCUGUCUGUUUGUGUGUUUGUCUGUCUGUCUGUUUUGUGUCUGUUUGUCUGCUUUUCUGUCUGUUUCUGUGUCUAUCUGCCUUUCUAUUUCCUUGCCUCGUCUCCAUGUCAACGAGACAUGAAUCAUUGCCACACUCAAGCAGUCGAAGGCCGAACGCUAGCAAGGCUGCUAAUGUGACAGUGGCUACAGCGGGGCAACGUGCACGAUUGCCACCGGCUAUUCCAAGACGUUCUCAGGCAAUUCCAAGACGUUCUCGGACACGUUCAGCUCCACCACCAUCUCAACUACCCGUGGCUGGUGGUUACCCGCCAAGAUCCUGCUCUGGCAGUGAUCCCUCCUGCUCCGGCAGUGACCUCUCUCUGACCUCUCUCUUGGCUCCGCCAAGAUCCUGCUCCGGCAGUGUCUAUGUCUUUAAUCCCGCUCACGGUUGCUUCGGUACGAGGCUUGCUGGCCACAAUGGGCCAUGCUCAUUUCCGGCUACUCAGGGCUCUCGGUCUUCGUCCCUUGGACGUGACUAUCCUCUUGGCUCCGCCAAGAUCCUGCUCUCUCUGUAGCCUCUCACUUCGCUGGCCAGCACCCUCCUAACCGCAAGCUGCUGUGUGUUGUAGUUAAUUUAGCAUUAUAGUAAUAAUGCAGAUUAAUGGCAGUGACCUCUCUCUGACCUCUCUCUUGGCUCCGCCAGGAUCCUGCUCCGGCAGUGUCUAUGUCUUUAAUCCCGCUCACGGUUGCUUCGGUUCGAGGCUUGCUGGCCACAAUGGGCCAUGCUCAUUUCCGGCUACUCAGGGCUCUCGGUCUUCGUCCCUUGGACGUGACUAUCCUCUUGGCCCCGCCAAGAUCCUGCUCUCUCUGUAGCCUCUCACUUCGCUGGCCAGCACCCUCCUAACCGCAAGCUGCUGUGUGUUGUAGUUAAUGUAGCAUUAUAGUAAUAAUGCAGAUUAAUGGGUGCACGCGGCUGCUUCCGUGCUACCACUCAAACUAUGCUGCUAUGAACGUGCGCUGUACGUGCUCACAUGGUACUCUAUGCAUCAUGGCAUUCUAUGUGUCAUACAACGUGACACUCAACGCGACAUUCAUUCAUGCGCGACGCUCAACGUAGGCGGCAUGCGUCGUAGGCACUCAACGUGUCAUACUAAAGUUUGGCAUUCAUGCGUGUCGCUCGCCUCCGAUGUGGAAGGCGUGUGGCUGCGUUAUGAUGACGCUUGCUCGUAGCUUAACGUGGGUGGCAUGCAUCGUUGCAUGCAUGUCUUGCUAGAGUUUGCUCUGCUAUAUAUUUUCGAUCCGUUCUCUGCGACAAUCAUUCUUCCUUGCUCGUAGUGUGUAUUAUAUUUCGAUUCGUUCUGUGAGCGGAUCACUCUUGUCAGAUCAUUGUGUUUCACCCACCCACCUCCCAUUUCUCAUCUCUCAUUUACUUUGAUAAAGUAAAUAAAGGGGUGUUGGCCAUGCUCAUUUCCGGCUACUCAGGGCUCUCGGUCUUCGUCCCUUGGACGUGACUAUCCUCUUGGCCCCGCCAAGAUCCUGCUCUCUCUGUAGCCUCUCACUUCGCUGGCCAGCACCCUCCUAACCGCAA